rnacentral:rRNA from 1 species
UACGUAGGCAGCAAGCGUUGUUCGGAAUUACUGGGCGUAAAGGGCGCGUAGGCGGUUUGUACAGUCAGACGUGAAAUUCCUGGGCUCAACCUGGGGGCUGCGUUUGAUACGUGCAGACUUGAGUUCGGAAGAGGGUCGUGGAAUUCCCAGUGUAGAGGUGAAAUUCGUAGAUAUUGGGAAGAACACCGGUGGCGAAGGCGGCGACCUGGUCCGAUACUGACGCUGAGGCGCGAAAGCGUGGGGAGCAAACAGG